rnacentral:rRNA from 1 species
GACGAACGCUGGCGGCGUGCCUAAUACAUGCAAGUCGAGCGAACGGACGAGAAGCUUGCUUCUCUGAUGUUAGCGGCGGACGGGUGAGUAACACGUGGAUAACCUACCUAUAAGACUGGGAUAACUUCGGGAAACCGGAGCUAAUACCGGAUGAUAUUUUGAACCGCAUGGUUCAAAAGUGAAAGACGGUCUUGCUGUCACUUAUAGAUGGAUCCGCGCUGCAUUAGCUAGUUGGUAAGGUAACGGCUUACCAAGGCAACGAUGCAUAGCCGACCUGAGAGGGUGAUCGGCCACACUGGAACUGAUACACGGUCCAGACUCCUACGGGAGGCAGCAGUAGGGAAUCUUCCGCAAUGGGCGAAAGCCUGACGGAGCAACGCCGCGUGAGUGAUGAAGGUCUUCGGAUCGUAAAACUCUGUUAUUAGGGAAGAACAUAUGUGUAAGUAACUGUGCACAUCUUGACGGUACCUAAUCAGAAAGCCACGGCUAACUACGUG